GUUUGGAGAUAUACUUUGAGCCAUGUACCACUGGUUCUUGUCAUUUUCUUUGUUGUUGCCAUCUUCUAAAAUCUCAUAUCUUUCAUGUUGGAAAAUGACUUACAAUUCCAAGGAAAACAUGGCGGCUGGGUGCUUGUGUGUAUUGAUACUUUAUGAGACCAGAAAUGAUGAUGUAUGACAGUUUGGUCCGAAGGGUUCUUAUGAUGUAGUAG
rnacentral:lncRNA from 1 species